GGGCGACUAGUAUAGUGGUCAGUACAGUUCGUUGUGGUUUCUAACCUCAUUCCGAACAAACCCAGGUUCGAUUCCUGGGUCGCCCA